GGUAGUGUGGCUGAGUGGUCCAAGGUGCUAGAUUUAGGCUCUAGUCUCUCAAGAGGCGUGGGUUCGAAGCCCACCACUGCCA